GCCGGGAUAGCUCAGCUGGGAGAGCAACAGACUGAAGUGCCUUAGCAUUCUGGAGGUCCCGUGUUCAAUCCACGGUCCUGGCA